rnacentral:rRNA from 1 species
UUCUUAUAGAAAUAAUUAUAAGUAAAGCCUGCUCAAUGAAAAUUUAAAUAGCCGCAGAAUUUUUACUGUGCUAAGGUAGCAUAAUCAUUUGUCUUCUAAUUAAAGACUAGUAUGAAAGACUUAACGAAUUAACUACUAUUUAAUAAAUAAAUAAUUAAUUUAAAUUAAAUGUAAAAAUUCAUUUCUAUUUAAAUAGACGACAAGACCCUAUUGAACUUUACUAUAGUUAUACUGGGGAAGUAUUUUAACUAUAUUUUAAUUAAAAAAAUAUAAUAUUUAGACCCAUUAUAUAAAUGUUUAUAAGAACAAGUUACCAUAGGGAUAACAGCGUAAUAAAAUUUAAAAGAUCAUAUUUAAAAUUUUGUUUGCGACCUCGAUGUUGAAUAAUUUAUCUAUUUUACGCAACAGUAAAAAAAGUAGGUCUGUUCGACCUUUAAAUAAUUACA